rnacentral:lncRNA from 1 species
GGCCGAGGAAGGGGGUGCGGGGCUUAGGGCGCAGGGAGGUGGAGGAGCCGCAGCCGCCGCCUGUGCGCGGGAGGUGCCGCGGCCGCCCUGUCUCUGUGCUUCGUGCGCGCUCAGCUCAUCUGCUUCCUUCCAUCGUGUCUGGGUCUCCGUCUCUCUCCUCCUCCCUCCCCCACGCUCCGGCCUCGCCUGUCCGGUGCUCGCUGUGCCCCUCCCUGCUUCCCUCUGGGUGUGCGUGGGCGGUGCCCCCCCCCGGCCGGUGUUGAUAACUGCUUUGUUUCUGAUUGAUCUCAGCUAUCUGGGCAGUGUUGUCGAGACAAGCCUCUCCUCAGCUCAAUAGAACACUUCCACCUGCACCCGGGAACGCUGCUGCACCUGAGAGGCUGGAGGCUCUGAAAUACCAACGGAUAAAGAAGCCCAAAAAGUCAUCCAAGGGCUCUUCGAAGUCAAAGAAACGAUCCGACGAUUCUGCCUCCCAGACUCAGCAGCUUCCCAACUCUCAGGUUCUGUGGCCCGAUGAAGCUGUCUGCCUCCGAAAGAAGAAGAGACAUUCUCGUCCUGACCCCUUUGCCCGGCUCUCAGACUUGUGCCACCGCCAGCUUCCGGAAGACCAGACAGCGAUUCUCAACAGUGUGGACCACGAUGACCCAGGACAUGCCACUUUGCUGUGACUCCACCCCACUCUAGGUGUCCCCGGGGCGAGGUUGCUGGGCUCAGGCAGGGAGGGCCACUGUGUGGGGGUGUGUCCUCCUCCGUCUGCCAAGGGUGGCCCAGACCUUUGUCCUGCAUGCCCCCUCUUUUGCCAGAGCGGGUGUCUCCCUCCAGAUCCUGGCCGCCUGUCUUCAGGACGGAGGGUGGGCACACCUUCCACCUGUGGGUCGAGGUCAGGAAGUGGAUUGGAGACUGGGCAACACCUGUCUCCUCCCCUCCGCCCCCUGCUUCACUAGGUUGAUUUUUCUCAUCUCUUCCAAUGUCUUUGGAAGUGAAGAGGAAAGCAAUGGCUUUUACUGCUCUCUGCUUCUGUUUCAGUUUUUCAAGUCCUGGAAGAAGGCUGGACUUAAUGUCCAUCUUCCACACCCCACAUAUAUAUAGAUAUAGAUACAGAUGCAUAUGUCUGUAGUGUGUGGGUUUCUCUAUGUGUGUAUAUAUAUAUAUAUAUAUAUGUACAUUGAGGCAAAGUGCUGUUGCUCUCUGUGGUCAGUGGAGGCAGGAGGAGGAGGGCAGCGGCCAGCUGGGGUUUGCGAGCAGGGCUGGCUGCACCUUGGCCAGGUGCCUGACAUCUGUCUUGGGGGAUUCUUUCUCCCAAAACAAGAUCCGUGUCUCUCCGCUGAAUUCUCCGUGUGUCUUCUACCUUCUCCCACCCAGAGCAGAAAUGGGGCCUUGCUAUGAUUACCGGCUGCCUUCUAUGGGGGUUCAGUAAUGAGUUACUGCAGAACUAAAUUCAAGCCUUUGUUUCUUGGUUCCUGGGUGAAGAAGGGGUGGCCAGGCUCCUAGACCUGCAUCUUUCUUUCUUCCUUCCAGCGUGGCUCACGCUGCAGAAGUAGAGGCUAACUCAGCCGCGGGGCUGAAGCAAGCCUCUGGUGCGCAUGUCCAGCGCAUCCGUCGGCACCCUUCCGCCCAGCCAGGCCGUGAGCUCUGUGGCCAAAGUCUCCCCCACUGCGGAGCCACCUGUGCUAGCGCCAAGCUGCCGGCUCUAUUUAUACCGUCCCCGGCUCAGCACUCUGUGCAGCGCUGUUCCACAGCGGCUGAUUGGAUCCUCCUUUGCUUUUGUGGGAGCUAAUUCUCCAGAUUGAUUAAUUACCACUUGUGCGGAGCCGCCUGUGGCUUUCCCGCACUCACCACGUGCUGCCUGCCGACUCUUCUCUGCCCCGGGGCCUUCGUCCUCCGGUGGACCUGAGCUGCAGGGGGAUGGGCUCAGGUGAAGCUAGGGCGCCUCUGGCUGCUGGGGCCUGGGACGCUCUGGAUCCUGCCCUCUUUGCCCAGUUCUAUUCUGUGGCUGAGGCGUAGGAAUGAAGGCGGGAGGGGUGGUGAGUAGGGUCUGGGCACUGACUCUUCCUCUGCCAAAGUCUGGUCCUGGUUCAAACUCGUAGCAUCCAGAAGCUUCCUGAGAUCAUCUUCCCACUAAGAUGUCUCUCUGCCGGUAAGAUAUGGUGCUGCCCAAGGGCAGGGCAGAAGGCCCCGAGGGCGGGGUGGAGGGGAGAUCUGCCCCUCCCCCACUCUUGUGUAGGAGCCCCCCUUCUGGCUUGGCUUAGAAUGAAGGUUCCUUGAAGUAUUUCCUUCUUGGUGCUGCUGUCUUGGUGGGUUUGGGGGCACCCACCUCUCCCGAGUUCCCUGCUUGGACGUGAGCCACGGCAGCAUUGGACGGCUUCUGCUGGUCUCACGCAGCUGCCAUGGGCUUGGCCCAGUGACCUCGCAGGAUGAGGCCUUGGAUGGCUGCUGUCUCUUCUUGGCGUUUCCAUCUUAGGGGAUGGACUUCUUCUGUGCCACACCGGCCCUGGUCCUUCCUUUCACCCAGGGAGCUGAGGACCAGCUCCACCCUUGAGGUUUACCGUGCAAGUAACACGACCGCAGUUCCUUUCUGAACACAUCUGAAGGGGUCAUGGUGAGAGAGGCACGCAGGGGCUUCUGAGACUGGGCCGUGCACCCUUGGGGUGGAAUCUGGGCCUUCCGGUUGAUGUGCUUCUCUGGGGCGUCGGAAUCCACUUGACCGCUGGGCACCAGCUCUGCGAGAUGGAAGAGCACACAACUCUUUGUGUUCUUUUUUCCAGGUAGCACACCCUCUGCCCCCGCGUCGUGAUGUGCUGCUCACUUGGGCGUCUCUCCUUGGGGAUGACGGGAGCCGGCUUACCUGAGGUGUUGGGGUGGGAGGUGGGGGCUUACCGCAAGCUGACGUGCAGCCUUUGUGCACUGGCAGUGUGAGAUUUCUACCCCAGAGGAGCUCACGGGGCUCAGCCAGGCCCUGGGAUGCACUGGGAUGUGGGCAUCAGGCUGUCAGCCUUCAGGAUGAAUUUGGCCUACUUUUCUGAGCACCCUCCUGGGAAUUCCAGCCCUCAGGUUAGAAAAGAAGAGGAGAUGAUGAGGUAGAAGGCUUUGCUUCUUUCGGAUGUCAUGAGAGGCUGAGAUGCUCAGGCCGUGGCUGUGCCUUCCAGGGCACCCCCGUGCUAACCCAGGUGCUGACUCCUCCUCCGCUUCCUCUGGCAGUGCCCAUGACCUCAGCACGUAGACCCAACGCGGGGAGCCGUGCUAUUCGCUGGUCACCGAGUGGCUGCUGUGCUGUGGCUUCCCUGGCUAGGGCAAGGACGUCAGGUCUGCCCAUCUCUCAGUGGCCUGCCACUCAUUCAGCUCCCCUGAGGGCUUCCUCCUGUGACAGUGUCCUCGGAGGCCAGCAGCCCUCCUGCAGCCCGUGGACGGCGAUGGGAUUGGUGGAACGCAGUUCCCUCCGUGGAUAGAGGGCGAAGAUGUCACAGGCACAAGUUUAGGUGCUGGGUAUAGGCAUGUGUGACAGCGUGGUUGUGAGCAUGUGGGUGAUGGGGGUGUAACCACCUCUAGGGACCAGUGUCCUUCAUAGUCUGCCUCUGAACAAUGGCAGUGACUACUGAUCAGCUUCUUAGGACUUCGGCACUCACUCUGUAGGAGAUCGCACCUUCCAAACUUCCCCUUUUACGGUCUGGCGGCCUUGCAGUAGACACGACUCAGAUGUAAACCUGCUUCUGUGUCUCAGAUGUCUGUCUGCCUCUUCAGCAUCGUGGCUGAGAACUGUGGCUGUUGUAGUGUCAGGUGACCCACAGACCAGGAAGAGGGGGAAACGGUUCUUAGCGGGGCCUGGACAACUGCAUUUGCGUGGGGAGAGAAGAUGUACGACGAGGCAGAGAGGCGAAGCCUGUCUCGAUUUGCUGGUGGGCUGCCGUGGGCUCCCACCCGGUGCUGAGCGGGGUCCUGUGCUGGAUUGUUGGGGUGGCUCUGGGCCCAGCAUCUGGGAGUGGCCCUGCCUGCUGCCAGUCUGCCUCUAAGCAGCUUCCCUGGAGAGACUGGGGGUAGGACAGGCCUUUUGAGAUCCUGCUUUCUUAGCAGGAAGGACGCCUUUUUCCCAGCAGGCUGGCGGGGUCUGUGCCCUCCUUGGAGGUGCUUAGUCCCACAACCAUGCGCUUGCGGGAAGACUGAAGCCGGGUGGAUUGAGCCGAGUAUUUCUUGUUAUUUUUCCAUGCUCUCUGUCUUUAUUUUUGAUUUGUGAUCUAAAAUAUUUGGGGUUGAACUGUUUUAAUUUAUUCCUCUGCCCUUUUUGUGCCGAGGAAACUGGGGUAAGGUUCAAAUGUGAAAUUUUCUGAUUUUAUUUGGGGUGGGGGACAAGGUUGACGAAACAGUAGCUUCUAGGGAGAAACAGAUUUCACGGAGCCUCCAGCAUCUUUGGCACUGCCCACGAUCUGAAUCUCCAGGGCUGAAGACUGCGUGGCUGGAAUCUGUUUCUUCCCAUUUUGUUAGCAAAAGCCUUUUCCAGGCUUGGGGGUGGGGUGGGGGAAGAAUUGUACAUAAAGUACAUUUUAUUAAUCUGUAGAGAAACCUAGGAAAAGAAAAGAUAAUGGUUAAU